rfam:Lottia gigantea unplaced genomic scaffold LOTGIsca_20, whole genome shotgun sequence.
UACUCUGUAUGACGAUUUCUAUUAAAAUCUCGCGAAUAGUAGAAAUCUGAUGAUCUGAGUA